AUUCCAGCUCCAAUAGCGUAUAUUAAAGUUGUUGCAGUUAAAAAGCUCGUAGUCGGAUUUUGGCAUCACGCCGAACUGUCUGCCGAUUGGUAAGUACGGUUUGGCGGGUGCUUCCUUCCGGAGGCUCGUUCCCUUCUUCAUUGAAGGGUUCGUUGGUUCCGGGUCUUUUACUUUGAGAAAAUUAGAGUGUUCAAAGCAGGCCUAUGCUCUGAAUAGGUUAGCAUGGAAUAAUAGAAUAGGACUUUGGUUCUAUUUUGUUGGUUUCUAGGACCGAAGUAAUGAUUAAUAGGGACAAUUGGGGGCAUUCGUAUCGCGGUGUCAGAGGUGGAAUUCUUGGAUUACUGCGCGACGAACUACUGCGAAAGCAUUUGCCAAGGAUGGUUUCAUCG
rnacentral:rRNA from 1 species